GGCUGGUCUGAGUGCAGUGGUGUUUACAACUAAUUGAUCACAACCCGUUACAGAUCUCUUUGUUCCUCUCCACUCCCAUUGCUUCACUUGACUGGCCUUUA
rnacentral:Y_RNA from 1 species